GGGCAUGUGGUGUAUCUGGUUAACACGUUCGCACAAUAUGUAAAUCUCUCUUCCGCCUCACCAUUUUAUGAUGUUGCCAUCCGCGAAAGUAUCCGGUUCGAGUCCGGACAUGUCCA